GCUGACGUGGCGGAAUCGGUAGACGCGCUAGCUUGAGGGGCUAGUGGGAGAAAUCCUGUGGAGGUUCAAAUCCUCUCGUCAGCA
rnacentral:tRNA from 1 species